rnacentral:rRNA from 1 species
AGAGUUUGAUCCUGGCUCAGAGUGAACGCUGGCGGCAGGCCUAACACAUGCAAGUCGAACGGCAGCACAGAGGAGCUUGCUCCUUGGGUGGCGAGUGGCGGACGGGUGAGGAAUACGUCGGAAUCUGCCUAUUUGUGGGGGAUAACGUAGGGAAACUUACGCUAAUACCGCAUACGACCUACGGGUGAAAGCGGGGGACCGCAAGGCCUCACGCAGAUAGAUGAGCCGACGUCGGAUUAGCUAGUUGGCGGGGUAAAGGCCCACCAAGGCGACGAUCCGUAGCUGGUCUGAGAGGAUGAUCAGCCACACUGGAACUGAGACACGGUCCAGACUCCUACGGGAGGCAGCAGUGGGGAAUAUUGGACAAUGGGCGCAAGCCUGAUCCAGCCAUGCCGCGUGUGUGAAGAAGGCCUUCGGGUUGUAAAGCACUUUUGUCCGGAAAGAAAAGCUUAGGGUUAAUAACCCUGAGUCAUGACGGUACCGGAAGAAUAAGCACCGGCUAACUUCGUGCCAGCAGCCGCGGUAAUACGAAGGGUGCAAGCGUUACUCGGAAUUACUGGGCGUAAAGCGUGCGUAGGUGGUUUGUUAAGUCUGAUGUGAAAGCCCUGGGCUCAACCUGGGAAUGGCAUUGGAAACUGGCUUACUAGAGUGCGGUAGAGGGUAGCGGAAUUCCCGGUGUAGCAGUGAAAUGCGUAGAUAUCGGGAGGAACAUCCGUGGCGAAGGCGGCUACCUGGACCAGCACUGACACUGAGGCACGAAAGCGUGGGAAGCAAACAGGAUUAGAUACCCUGGUAGUCCACGCCCUAAACGAUGCGAACUGGAUGUUGGGGGCAACUUGGCCCUCAGUAUCGAAGCUAACGCAUUAAGUUCGCCGCCUGGGAAGUACGGUCGCAAGACUGAAACUUAAAUGAAUUGACGGGGGC